rnacentral:rRNA from 1 species
AUUGAACGCUGGCGGCAGGCCUAACACAUGCAAGUCGAGCGGAUGAAGGGAGCUGGCUCCUGGAUUCAGCGGCGGACGGGUGAGUAAUGCCUAGGAAUCUGCCUGGUAGUGGGGGAUAACGUCCGGAAACGGGCGCUAAUACCGCAUACGUCCUGAGGGAGCAAGUGGGGGAUCUUCGGACCUCACGCUAUCAGAUGAGCCUAGGUCGGAUUAGCUAGUUGGUGGGGUAAAGGCCUACCAAGGCGACGAUCCGUAACUGGUCUGAGAGGAUGAUCAGUCAUACUGGAACUGGGUGACGGUCCAGACUCCUACGGGAGGCAGCAGUGGGGAAUAUUGGACAAUGGGCGAAAGCCUGAUCCAGCCAUGCGGCGUGUGUGAAGAAGGUCUUCGGAUUGUAAAGCACUUUAAGUUGGGAGGAAGGGCAGUAAGUUAAUACCUUGCUGUUUUGACGUUACCAACAGAAUAAGCACCGGCUAACUUCGUG